rnacentral:rRNA from 1 species
GACGAACUGUCCUAACGUUGUUCGGAAUCACUGGGCUUAAAGGGCGCGUAGGCGGUCCGACAAGUCAGGGGUGAAAUCCUGCAGCUUAACUGCAGAAGUGCCUUUGAUACUGUCGGUCUCGAGGGAGAUAGGGGUGUGCGGAACUUCCAGUGGAGCGGUGAAAUGCGUUGAUAUUGGAAGGAACGCCGGAGGCGAAAGCGGCGCACUGGAUCUCUUCUGACGCUGAGGCGCGAAAGCUAGGGGAGCAAAC